rnacentral:rRNA from 1 species
GAUGAACGCUGGCGGCGUGCUUAACACAUGCAAGUCGAGCGAAGCGGCUGAAUUGAUUCUUCGGAUGAUUUUCAGUUGACUGAGCGGCGGACGGGUGAGUAGCGCGUGGGUGACCUGCCCCAUACCGGGGGAUAACAGCUGGAAACGGCUGCUAAUACCGCAUAAGCGCACAGAGCUGCAUGGCUCGGUGUGAAAAACUCCGGUGGUAUGGGAUGGGCCCGCGUCUGAUUAGGCAGUUGGCGGGGUAACGGCCCACCAAACCGACGAUCAGUAGCCGGCCUGAGAGGGCGACCGGCCACAUUGGGACUGAGACACGGCCCAAACUCCUACGGGAGGCAGCAGUGGGGAAUAUUGCACAAUGGGGGAAACCCUGAUGCAGCGACGCCGCGUGAGCGAAGAAGUAUUUCGGUAUGUAAAGCUCUAUCAGCAGGGAAGA